GACAAACGCUGGCGGGGUGCAUGAGACAUGCAAGUCGAACGGGGUUGAGCGGGCUUGCUCGAUCAACCUAGUGGCGGACGGCUGAGUAACGCGUAGGUGACCUACCCGGAAGUGGGGAAUAACUGCCCGAAAGGGUGGCUAAUACCGCAUGUGGUCGGCGAUUCAGUUCGCCGCCCAAAGCCGCAAGGCGCUUCCGGCGGGGCCUGCGUCCGAUUAGCUAGUUGGUGGGGUAAUGGCNCACCAAGGCGACGAUCGGUAGCUGGUCUGAGAGGAUGAUCAGCCAGACUGGGACUGAGAACGGCCCAGACUCCUACGGGAGGCAGCAGUCGGAAUUUUGCCCAAUGACGAAAGUCUGAGGCAGCAACUCCGCGUGAGGGACGAAGGCCUC
rnacentral:rRNA from 1 species